rnacentral:rRNA from 1 species
AUUGAACGCUGGCGGCAUGCCUUACACAUGCAAGUCGAACGGCAGCACGGGAGCUUGCUCCUGGUGGCGAGUGGCGAACGGGUGAGUAAUAUAUCGGAACGUACCCUAGAGUGGGGGAUAACGCAGCGAAAGUUGCGCUAAUACCGCAUACGAUCUACGGAUGAAAGUGGGGGAUCGCAAGACCUCAUGCUCAUGGAGCGGCCGAUAUCUGAUUAGCUAGUUGGUGGGGUAAAGGCCUACCAAGGCAUCGAUCAGUAGCUGGUCUGAGAGGACGACCAGCCACACUGGAACUGAGACACGGUCCAGACUCCUACGGGAGGCAGCAGUGGGGAAUUUUGGACAAUGGGCGCAAGCCUGAUCCAGCAAUGCCGCGUGAGUGAAGAAGGCCUUCCGGGUUGUAAAGCUCUUUUGUCCAGGGAAGAAACGGUGAGGGCUAAUAUCCUUUGCUAAUGACGGUACCUGAAGAAUAAGCACCGGCUAACUA